GGCUCGUUAGCUCAGUUGGUUAGAGCGCCGCACUUAACUCGCGGAGGUCGUAGGUUCGAUCCCUACAUGAGCCC